CUAGAAGAGAGUUGAUCUGAAAAUGCUGUUGGAAAGUGGAGGCUGUUACAGAUGGAAAGGUCUAUCAAAGAAGUUGCUGGAUGGUAUAACUUUUCUUAAAGGAGGGAAGAUUGAUUCCAGUAAAGUGGAUGCAGUUUUGGGAAACAUGGGCAUGGACCUCACUGAAAAGGAGCUUAAAGACAUAAUACAUCUGCCAGUUGAUGGAUGAAGUCAUAGAGCACCAAAUGCUGUUAUUGAAGCAAUCACAAGACCUGCCCAGAUUCCAUCUAAACUCUUGGUGGGAGAUGUAUCAGCCACGUAGUAAUAAAGUCAUGUGGAACAGAAAAUAGAUAGCUCAGCCAUCCUUAAAAAAUAUGUUCUGCCACGGUAUCUUUUACUCAGCAUAUGAGUUUUAGAUGUAUCUGUGUUAUGGCUUGUGUCAGUAAUUUGUUUUCAUUGCUAAAUAAUAUUGUAUAAAUAUACACAACAUGUUUAUCGCUUCUACUAUUGUUGGGCCUUUGCUUUUUCUAGCUUUUGACUAUCAUGAAUAAAACUGCUAUGAA